AUUUUUCACUGUCUACUGUAAGACGAGCAAACAAAAUUAAUAAACUUUCUUUUUGCUAGAUAAUUUGAAUACCAAAGUAAUAAUAUCAUGGGUAUUAUUGAGUGCCGUGUUUUUUGUUAUUUCGAAUUCGUUAGAGACUGACGAUCAAUUUGAAAAUAUAGAUCGGCAUGCUGACUCUCAAGGAAAACGGGAAAUUAUCGAAAUAAAAAUUCCACGAAGACGUAAACGAUCAGUUGAUUCCACAAUUCGUUUUCCACUUAAAGCAUUUGGCCGAGAUAUAAAUUUAAAUCUAC